ensembl:snRNA U6 U6 spliceosomal RNA
GUGCUUGCUUCAGCAGCACAUAAAUGAAAAAUGAAACAACACAGAGAAGGUUAGCAUGGCCCCUGCUCAAGAAUGACAUGCAAAUUUGUGAAGUGUUCCAUGAUUUU